rnacentral:rRNA from 1 species
UAGGGAAUCUUCGGCAAUGGACGAAAGUCUGACCGAGCAACGCCGCGUGAGUGAAGAAGGUUUUCGGAUCGUAAAACUCUGUUGUUAGAGAAGAACAAGGACGUUAGUAACUGAACGUCCCCUGACGGUAUCUAACCAGAAAGCCACGGCUAACUACGUGCCAGCAGCCGCGGUAAUACGUAGGUGGCAAGCGUUGUCCGGAUUUAUUUGGCGUAAAGCGAGCGCAGGCGGUUUCUUAAGUCUGAUGUGAAAGCCCCCGGCUCAACCGGGGAGGGUCAUUGGAAACUGGGAGACUUGAGUGCAGAAGAGGAGAGUGGAAUUCCAUGUGUAGCGGUGAAAUGCGUAGAUAUAUGGAGGAACACCAGUGGCGAAGGCGGCUCUCUGGUCUGUAACUGACGCUGAGGCUCUAAAGCGUGGGGAGCAAACAGG